rnacentral:rRNA from 1 species
AACGAACGCUGGCGGCAUGCCUAACACAUGCCAGCCGAACGAGACCUUCGGGUCUAGUGGCGCACGGGUGCGUAACGCGUGGGAACCUGCCCUUAGGUUCGGAAUAACUCCCCGAAAGGGGUGCUAAUACCGGAUAAUGUCUUCGGACCAAAGAUUUAUCGCCUUUGGAUGGGCCCGCGUUGGAUUAGCUAGUUGGUAGGGUAAAAGCCUACCAAGGCGACGAUCCAUAGCUGGUCUGAGAGGAUGAUCAGCCACACUGGGACUGAGACACGGCCCAGACUCCUACGGGAGGCAGCAGUGGGGAAUAUUGGACAAUGGGCGAAAGCCUGAUCCAGCAAUGCCGCGUGAGUGAUGAAGGCCUUAGGGUUGUAAAGCUCUUUUACCCGGGAUGAUAAUGACAGUACCGGGAGAAUAAGCUCCGGCUAACUCCGUG